ensembl:lncRNA
CUGGAUUUUUCAGCUGGCUGUACGGGGAUGGGGUCCUGCUCAGAGUGCUGCUCGUGGCAGAGGGACGGCUGCUGCUCCCUGCUAGAGAAGUGGCAGCCGCUUCCAGCAAGAUACGGCGCUUCGGGAGAGCAAUUAUCCCGGUGACCUCAUCCAUGUCUGCAGCAUGAGCUCAGCCGUGCAGGGAGGUACGCACCCAGCUUGGCUCGUCCCAAACCCUCACCCUGGAGCCCAAUCCCAGCACCCAGGAAACAGGCAAUUAUCUGUGGCAUAAUUCCCCCUGGGCCAAACGAGAUACCUGACAGUGAUGGGGUGGGUGCAGGAGCCGGGGCAGAGCACGUGCCCAAUAUCCCUGAUGCGCAGCGGUGGCAUUUGGGAAAGCUGAGCUGGAGCUGAACGUGUGCCUUUGCCUGCAGUGAGACCCCCACCCCCUCUGUGCCUUCAGUGAGGUUCAGGUCCUGGUCCUUCAUGUGGGAUCGCACCUUGAACACAGUUCUGACCCCUG